CCCAAAUAAAACCACAUAUCUUAUUCACAAAGCAAACCCUCUCUUGUUCUCUCUUCUCCAUACCCAAUUACGCCCACAACACUCUUCUUCUCGCCGCGCUUUUCAUCGUUUAAUUUUGAGUAGUAAAGCGAAUCGAAGAUGUUUGGGAGGGCACCGAAGAAGAGCGAUAACACAAAGUACUAUGAGAUCUUAGGUGUUCCUAAGACUGCUUCACCUGAAGAUCUCAAAAAAGCUUACCGUAAAGCUGCUAUUAAGAAUCAUCCUGAUAAGGGAGGUGAUCCCGAAAAGUUUAAAGAGCUUGCACAAGCUUAUGAGGUUUUGAGUGACCCCGAGAAGCGUGAGAUAUAUGACCAGUACGGUGAAGAUGCUCUCAAGGAAGGAAUGGGUGGUGGAGGUGGUGGACACGACCCAUUCGACAUUUUCUCAUCUUUCUUUGGUGGCAGCCCGUUUGGUGGUGGUAUGGGUGGUGGAAGCAGCAGAGGAAGAAGACAGAAAAGAGGAGAGGAUGUUGUCCACCCUCUCAAAGUUUCUCUGGAUGAUGUGUACAAUGGGACGUCAAAGAAGCUGUCAUUAUCUCGCAAUGUAUUGUGCCCCAAGUGCAAGGGGAAAGGAUCUAAGUCAGGUGCUUCAAUGAAAUGUUCUGGCUGUCAAGGGUCCGGGAUGAAAGUCACUAUCAGACAACUUGGCCCAUCCAUGAUCCAGCAGAUGCAACACGCUUGCAACGAGUGUAAGGGUACUGGUGAGACAAUCAGUGAUAAAGAUAGGUGUGGACAGUGUAAAGGUGAGAAGGUUGUGCAGGAGAAGAAGGUGUUGGAAGUUGUUGUUGAGAAGGGUAUGCAGAAUGGACAGAAGAUUACGUUCCCGGGCGAGGCUGAUGAAGCGCCUGAUACUAUCACUGGGGACAUAGUUUUUGUCUUGCAACAGAAGGAACAUCCCAAGUUCAAGCGAAAGGGAGAUGAUCUUUUUGUAGAGCACACUUUGAGUUUGACUGAGGCCCUAUGUGGUUUCCAGUUCAUCUUGACUCACUUAGACAAUAGACAGCUACUCAUUAAGUCCCAACCUGGAGAAGUUGUGAAGCCUGAUCAAUUUAAGGCCAUAAAUGAUGAAGGCAUGCCAAUGUACCAAAGGCCGUUUAUGAGAGGAAAACUGUACAUUCACUUUACUGUAGAUUUCCCAGAGACAUUAUCCCUCGAGCAGUGCAAGAACCUUGAAGCGGUGUUGCCACCAAAACCCAAAACGCAAAUGACUGAUAUGGAAUUGGAUGAGUGCGAGGAGACCACUUUGCAUGAUGUUAACAUUGAAGAGGAGAUGCGUAGGAAGCAGCAGCAAGCCCAAGAGGCAUAUGACGAAGAUGAAGACAUGCAUGGUGGCGCCCAGAGAGUUCAAUGUGCACAGCAGUAAUUUGGCACUGUUUUGGUAAACCAAAGUUGCAUCAAGGAAUUAACAGCAUGAAUUUAUUCUUGGUUUUUACGUAUUUGUAUGACAAGAUAAUGACAUUGUCAGGAAUAUUGCUUCUACAGUAAGAUAUAGUUUGCUAGCUUAUGAUUUGGAAUACGUUUGCUAAUUAAUUCUACAGUUGCUGGGGUGCGGCAGAUUUUAGCAA